rnacentral:misc_RNA from 1 species
UACCUUCUCCUCCUAAACGUUACAGGUUAAUGCGAGACAGGGACAGUUGGGUGAGGCAAGAGAGAAACUGAAAAGGAGAGGGGCAACGGGUUUUUGGGCAUUGCUAUGACUAUGUAGGUUCGAGAAAGGUGACGAAUUGAGCUAGGUCUUCGAAGGAAGAAGAAAACGUUGAGGUUGAGCAAGUGGUCAGAGGUGGGGCAUGGAGGAAAUGAUGAAUGGCAUCAAGAACAACGGAUGGAGGAAGGAGGUCAUCGGGUGUGAAGGAGAAUGACGCAAGUGACUGGUUUGGUGAGAGCUUGAGUUUAUUGUGUGUAGAUGAGAGAGAAUGUGGAGAGAGAGAGAGAGGACAGAUGGAUAAAUUAUACCCUG